rnacentral:rRNA from 1 species
CGAAGCAGCUAGCCUAACCGCAAGGGGGCGGUUGCCACGGGUCGAGAUUCAUGACUGGGGUG